rnacentral:tRNA from 3 species
GGACAAUUAGCUCAUCUGGCUAGAGCGCCACAUUGACGUUGUGGAGGUAAGAGGUUCAAGUCCUCUAUUGUCCACCA